rnacentral:rRNA from 1 species
UACGUAGGUGGCAAGCGUUGUCCGGGAUUUAUUGGGCGUAAAGCGAGCGCAGGCGGUUCCUUAAGUCUGAUGUGAAAGGCCCACGGCUCAACCGUGGAAGGUCAUUGGAAACUGGGGAACUUGAGUGCAGAAGAGGAGAGUGGAAUUCCAUGUGUAGCGGUGAAAUGCGUAGAUAUAUGGAGGAACACCAGUGGCGAAGGCGAUUCUCUGGACUGUAACUGACGCUGAGGCUCGAAAGCGUGGGGAGCAAACAGGAUUAGA